GGUACUUGAAGAGAGGAUACCCUUUGUAUGUUCACUUUAUUAAUGGCGAAUAUACAGGGGGAGACUCU
rnacentral:pre_miRNA from 1 species